GAUGAACGCUGGCGGCGUGCCUAAUACAUGCAAGUCGAGCGAACAGACGAGGAGCUUGCUCCUCUGACGUUAGCGGCGGACGGGUGAGUAACACGUGGAUAACCUACCUAUAAGACUGGGAUAACUUCGGGAAACCGGAGCUAAUACCGGAUAAUAUAUUGAACCGCAUGGUUCAAUAGUGAAAGACGGUUUUGCUGUCACUUAUAGAUGGAUCCGCGCCGCAUUAGCUAGUUGGUAAGGUAACGGCUUACCAAGGCAACGAUGCGUAGCCGACCUGAGAGGGUGAUAGGCCACACUGGAACUGAGACACGGUCCAGACUCCUACGGGAGGCAGCAGUAGGGAAUCUUCCGCAAUGGGCGAAAGCCUGACGGGGCAACGCCGCGUGAGUGAUGAAGGUCUUCGGAUCGUAAAACUCUGUUAUUAGGGAAGAACAAAUGUGUAAGUAACUAUGCACGUCUUGACGGUACCUAAUCAGAAAGCCACGGCUAACUACGUG
rnacentral:rRNA from 1 species